GAGAAUAGGAUGCAGGGAGCAUGCGCAGUACGGUGCAGGGACGUGAAGACUUGGGAGACACCCACUGACACCGAGAUGACGGAGGGAACAUCCACGCCAGAGCAGCACCGAUCGUGCCAUCGCCGUUCUGACGCGAGAAGCAAAGGAAGGUGGCCCAAACGAAGGCACAGCAGCCGGUGAAGGCAGUCCGCACGUACAGAG